rnacentral:rRNA from 1 species
CCUACGGGAGGCAGCAGUGGGGAAUAUUGGACAAUGGGCGAAAGCCUGAUCCAGCCAUGCCGCGUGUGUGAAGAAGGCCUUCGGGUUGUAAAGCACUUUCAGUGGGGAAGAAAGCCUUGGGGCUAAUACCCUCGAGGAAGGACAUCACCCACAGAAGAAGCACCGGCUAACUCCGUGCCAGCAGCCGCGGUAAUACGGAGGGUGCGAGCGUUAAUCGGAAUUACUGGGCGUAAAGCGCGCGUAGGCGGUCUGAUAAGCCGGUUGUGAAAGCCCCGGGCUCAACCUGGGAACGGCAUCCGGAACUGUCAGGCUAGAGUGCAGGAGAGGAAGGUAGAAUUCCCGGUGUAGCGGUGAAAUGCGUAGAGAUCGGGAGGAAUACCAGUGGCGAAGGCGGCCUUCUGGACUGACACUGACGCUGAGGUGCGAAAGCGUGGGUAGCAAACAGGAUUAGAUACCCUGGUAUC